rnacentral:lncRNA from 1 species
ACACUCGGACAGAGGGACAUCCAUUACCAGUUAGGGUAAACAUAUCAAGGAUGACUCAUUGAGGAAAAAGAGGCGAAUUCAUUACCGGCUAUUGGGUAAGAAUAACCUACUGGGGAGAGAAGAUCAAAUAGGAUUUACAACUACUAGUUACGGGGCAGCAGACCGAAGAGAGAGUAUUUGUCACUGGUUAAAAUGAACAUAUCAAGGAUAACCUCAAAGGAAGAAUAUUCUUCAUCGGUUAGGAUGAACAUAUCAAGGAUAAACCUCCUGAGGAAUGAGAAAG